GACGAACGUUGGCGGCGUGCUUAAUACAUGCAAGUCAACUGAAGCAGUGGUAGCAAUAUCGCUGUGGAGGUGGCGCACGGGGGAGUAACACGUAGGUAAUCUGCCUUCAGGUCUGGCAUAACUCCGGGAAACCGGGGCUAAUAGCAGAUGAUGCAGCGGCUCGACAUCGAGACAGUUGUUAAAGCUAUGGCGCCUGAAGAUGAGCCUGCGUCUGAUUAGCUAGUUGGCGGGGUAACGGCCCACCAAGGCAACGAUCAGUAGCUGGUCUGAGAGGAUGAUCAGGCACACUGAAACGGAGACACGGUCCAGACUACUACGGGAGGCAGCAGUAAGGAAUAUUGCUCAAUGGGAGAAAUCCUGAAGCAGCAACGCCGCGUGAGGGACGAAGGGCUUUUGCUUGUAAACCUCUGUAGGGAAAGAAGAAAAUCCCAAUCUUUGUGACAUGAUGGUAUCUAAAAAGUAAGCCCCGGCUAACUACGUG
rnacentral:rRNA from 1 species